GCAGGUGUGGUGGAAUGGUAGACACGCUAUCUUGAGGGGGUAGUGGAAGUAUUUCCGUGUGAGUUCGAGUCUCAUCACCUGCACCA
rnacentral:tRNA from 2 species